rnacentral:lncRNA from 1 species
GAGAGCCCCAAAGGGGAGGGCCAAGGAGCUCCCUCUGGUGCAGGAGCAGAGGCUCAGAAGGAAGUCUCAGAGGUGCCAACAAGAAACUAUUAGUCUGCUUUGCUUUAGAAAAUCAGUCUGUGCUCUGAUAAUGCAUCUCCAUCUACGCUGCGUCUAUUUUGGGGUACGUGUAUAUAGGUGUUUGGGAGUUGGUGUUGAUCGUUUUUUUCUUUGUUAUCUUCUAAUAUAUUCUACUUUUAUUUGCUGAAUUAAGAGGAAAGGAUCUCUGGGAGAACUCCCGUACUCAACUUGAUCUUCAAAUAGAGGAACAGUAAGAAGUCUUCCUAAAAAAGAUGAAGGAAACUGAUCAUCACUAAUUGCUGACUUUCCAAUCCAGAAAACACACACACAUAGAUGCAGUUCAGAUCUAGCAUUGCUGUGGCUGUAGUGUAGGCCUCAGAUGCAGCUCCAACUUGAACCCUGGCCUGGGAACUUGUGUAUGUCACAGGUGUGGCAGAAAGAAAGAAACAAAGAAAGAAGGGAGGAAGGAAGGAAGGAAGGAGGAAAGGAAGGAAAGAAAUGAAAGCUUGAGUCAUUGCCAGCAGUCCCAGGAAGUACACAAAACCAUAAGUGCCAGUGGCUCUUUAAGAAUACAUCUUCAAGGUGGAGCAUCUGUAAGGACCACUGAAGGGCUUCAACUCUGCAAGACUAUAAAGUCCCCAUCUUGGGGCAUAGAGUAUUGUUGGGAACAUAGGCCCUGGAGUCAGCCAGAUCUGAGUAUGCCACACAGCUAGGUGACCUCAGCAAGUCACUUAAACCUGGUAAACUAAGGGAAAUAACAUCCACUUUGUAGGGCGUUUUGAGAUCAAAUGAGGUGUGUGUGAAAUGGAAUGUAUAUCUGUGCCUCAAAAAAUUCGUGUGGAAACCCUAAUCCUCAAUGUGAAGGUUUUAGGAGGUGGGGGCCUUUUGGAGGUGUUUAGAUUUAUUCGAGGUCAUGAAAGUAGAGCUCUCAUGAUGACAUGUGUGUCCUUACAAGAAAAGAAAGAGACUAGGACUCUCUCUGUCCACCACAUGAGGAUACAAGGAGAAGAUGGCUGUAUGAAAGCCAGGAAGAGGGCCCACACCAGACACUGAACCUGCUGGCACCCUGAUCUUGAACCUCUCAUCCUCCAGAGCUGUGAGAAGUAAAUUUCCAUUGUUUAAGCCACCCAAUUUAUUGUAUCUUGUUACAGCAGUCUGAACUAAGUACAUGAAGCUUUUUACACAGCGCCUAGAAUAAACACUCAUAAAAUAAUAAAAAUAUAUAAGUAAGAAUGUAGGUAAAAAAUAAAUGAAGCCACUGACUAGGCAAGUCUGGAUUUCAAUGAGCUUCAGAAAAGAUUUCACUUUUUCUAAUUCUAGGAAAACAGCUAAAAAGAUGAACUAGGAUGGACACAUUUUUUAAGUACACUUAUUUGCAGUUUUUAUUUUGAAGAGGGGGAAGCAGCAGCUGCACCAUCCCCAUGACAAGCCAGACGGUAGACAAACACUGGUGGAAGCUCUGUCAGGGGAACGGUGACUCUCCAGCCAGCUUCAUGUGGGACAUCAGGAGGACAGAUUUUCUCAGGUGAUUUUCUCAUUCAUUCUCAUUCCUGCUUGGCUAGAAACAGUACAUAAGCUGUUUGUCUCAAAUGAACGCUCCAGUGGAUAAAACACCAAAAGGGAUUUGGGGAAACAUAACAAAAUGAGAAUCGCCAUACUGGCUUAGACCAACUGUCUGACAAUUGCACCAGGAGACAUUUACAGGAAAGAGUUGUAACUUCCUCCAUAAUCAUGGCCUCGCAAGCUUAGAAGCAACUCCAAAAUGGCCUCUAUUAUCCUAAACUGUACUUAAAGCCACCUUGAGUUUUAUACAAGCAUUUUCAGCUAAUACUGAGUUUAUUAUUUAACCAGCUUUUAUUCCUAUGUUUUGUUCCUCUUGACUGCAACCUUGAUUCACUAUAUAAUCUGGAGCAAGUCCCCAAGCUAAUUCUGUCUUAGUAUCUCCAACUAUAAAAUGGAAAAAUUAUAGUGGCUCCUUGGUGGGGUCACAAAUAAAGGGAAGAGAUUCCCAGAGCUACGUUUUUCUCUGCUGUGAACCCUACAAAGGAAGAAAGGCACUUCAAACCAGACACUUAAUUUCCAUUUUCUGUGCUAAUUCAUAUUACUCCUACAAGACUCAAAUAGUGGUUAAUGAAAGAGAAAAAUAAAAGAGGGAAGGGAACUAGGAAAUAUCUUGGGGUCAGGUUGAAGUGUAAGCCACUGAACCAACAAAAAUGUUUUCCCAUCCACAGCAGAAAGGUCUUGGGACUAGAUUACUCACCCGGAUUAUAAUACUGCAGAAUCUAUGUGACUACUCCUAAAUAAAAAUGUUUGGUAAGAAUAAGAAUAAAAUUGGCAUUUUUUUUCCUUUUGAGCUAAAGAAAAUCCAAAAACAAGUAGUACUGAAUUAUCAAAACAGGGAUAAUGAAUAACAGACUAUGUGUACACACUUAAAUCACUCAGAUCAUGCUGGAAUUUGACAAGAAAUUUUUAUUAUCAUAUAUCUAAUUGGUUCUAGACAUGAGUGACUUUAAUCACCCUUUUAUGUCCGAUAGGAGUAAUAAUUAGAGUGGAGAUUCAGGGAGGAGAUUUAAUAGUUUCUGUUCAGGAAGAAGAACUCUGGGAAAGCACAGUUAUAGAGAAGUUACCGUGUAGGCAGGAGAGCAUGAGCAGUUAAAUGACGCAAUGGUCUCUCCCUUUCUCCCUUACUAAAGACAAAUGGAAUUUUUAACAAAGUCAUAUAGUCCCUUCCAGAAAACAAAAAUGCAUCCAGUGUGAAACAUUUGUGUGUAGCUAAGUCAUCUUAGUUUCUUUAGGAUUGAAUUUUAGAAUUUAUUGAGGAAAUAAUAAUUAAAAGUAAAUACCCUCUAAAUAAUUUAUUACAGUCUUAUGAUGCUCAUAUUUGUUAACCAGGUAAGGAGGCAAAAUUUCACUGCUAGAAGAGCUAAGGUAGUUGUUCUAUUUGUUAUAAUGCUGAAAAUGUUUUUAAUUAAGUGAUAUUAAAAUAAGUGCAAAUAGAAUUCUCUGGGGCUGCUUCCUCUUAAAAAGAGGUUUUAAAUAUUAAAUGAGGGAAAAUGCAGACCACCCUGGUUUGUCCAUCUUAAAGAUGCAUGUUGUAUUACCUUGUGUCGAGGGAAUGCAUGUAGCAUAGAUUAAUUAGCCAGUUAGGUCUUUGCUGUAUCCAGUGUUAUGGAAGGCAAACUGUGCCAGGCUCAGACCACCUGUUUUAUCUGAAAUACCAAGGUGUUUAAGUCAGCACAGGGACUGUCACCAGAUGGGGGCAAACAAAUGAAUAAACCGUAAUUAAAAGUGUAGUUUAGUGCCUGGAGAAUCAGGGAAACUUGCUCUUUGCUGGUAUUAUGGCCUCAUUGAGUCACUUAAUGCCUUUGGGACUCAGUUUCCUAAUGAGGAGAAUGAGAGGGUUGACCUUCAAAGAGGUUUUCAACACUAAAAUUCUAAGGCACAUUAUUUUUACUACCUAAGAGAAGCAAACCCAUCAGUCUCCACAUCAGAGAAAUGUGCUGGCUUAUGGAGAUGGAACCACACCACGGGCCCCACUGUGCAGAUCCAAACCAAGAUCAAGGGUCUAGAGGUCCUCCAGCCUCCCACCACUGAAUCACUGUCCACUUGCAGCCACCAGCAGACAAGAAAGCCUCAGGGGUGGAGAACCUAGUGGCAGAUGACCUAGAUCUCUAGCAAGCCGGAUCUGCAUGAGGACUGCCUCAUAGAUUUCUACCCAGUCUCCGGGACGCCCUCUCCAGUCUGCUCCUGCAGACAACUGUGUGGCCCCUUCGGUUUGAAGCACACACACGCCUCCUCCUUUCCUCACUCACACAAAUGCCAUGUUAGGUUACCUUCAUUCUUCCACUCAUUGCUUAUUCACUCAUUCACUGGUCUAGCCCUUACUAAGCGCCUGCUGUGGGCAGCUGUCUCUGCUAGGGCUCGAUCUGCUUUGACCACAAUGCUGUGUGUGGUAAAGCCAGUGUGUAGGUUUGUGGUGGCCAGCAGCAAACUCUCUGGAGUUAGACUUCCUGAGUUCAAAUCCCAGCUCUCCCACUUACUAUGUGAUCUUGAACAAGUGCUUCAUCUUCUCUGUGCCUCAGUACUCUCAUUUGUUCUUAUUUGUGAAUAAUAGUAGGAAUUGCCCCUGUAAAGUUUUGUGGAGGGUUAAAUAAGUCAGUCUGUGUUUAGUGGCUCAAAAAGCACUUGAUAGGAUCUGAUGAUCACUGAGCAGAGCUUCCUGUUAUUAUCCUGAAUCAGUCUGAGAUCAGUGGCCCUCUUGCUGAGCUGCUGAUGACAUUUGACACAGUGCCUUCUAUUUAAAACAUGAUGUUUCAUGGCCAUGGAGUUGUUUGUCCACUUCAAAGGGCCAUUGGGAAUGAAUGUGAGGAGAUUCGUCACUGACAAGGAUUAGUGAAGCAAGCAGAAUUGCUACCUCAGAGAGCUCAGGGCAACGACAGUCACUUUGUCCAAGCCUGAGCAGCAGCAAAGGACAGCAAAAGCCCGAAGAAAAGAACCAGAAAGGAAGUAUAGCCAGGCAAACCCAGGAGGACCUGAGUACUUGCUCCAGCCACUCUGUUUGGGAAGUGCAGAAGUCUAUGUUGCUAGAGGUGAGAGAGGUUUCCCCAGCAAACGUGGUGAGCCUGAGCACCCUGGCCCCUGGUGCACCUGGUGCUGAUGGCCAGCCUGGUGCUAAAGGCAAUGCUGGUGCCCUUGGCCCCAUUUGUACCAUUGGUGCUCCUGGACCCAAAGGUGUUCAUAGAAGCACUGGUCCUCCUGGUGCUACUGGUUUCACCAUACACUGUUUAAUCUCUAAGGUGGCUGGGAAAAUAAUGUUAAACAGAGCAACAUUGGCUUACAGCCCUCCCAACAGAAAAGGAACAGUUAGCCAGGUGUUUUAUGCCUUCCCUAAGCAGGCCUACACCCUAUCUCAGCAGGAAGUAGUUACUGAACAGUCAUCACCCAAUAUCCCCUUUAAGCGUAAAGGGGUAAAACACCUGGAGGGGGGGAAUGAUAGGGAUGGAGCAUGCACAGAUAAUUUUAAAAAUCCCAGUAAAGAACCACAGAUAACAAGGGAAACGUAGGGGACAUUGGGAGAUCACUGGAAGUAAAUAAAUUGCUCAAAAAAGCCAUCAGAACAAGGCAGGCUUGCUUCAUUAGUGAAACCUUGAGAAUUGCCUCAGGUCAUUGGGUGGGGGAUGGGAUGAGGACUGCAUUCAUAUUCAGACCAAGGGCAGGAGUUUGAGGACCACCCUUCUGCUGAUUUGAAGACACACCUUACUGGAUACCAAGGAGGAGCUAGUACUCCCAGAAAGGAAGAGGCAGGCUUUUCCAACCCCUGCUCCCCUUGGAUGAUAAAACUGUAGCCCACUGGAUCCUUGGGGCAGAGCCUCCUUGCCUGCCCGCUUGCAUGUCCACAAGCGUCCUAUCCUAAUAAAUCUACUUCUUGCUUAUCAAAAAUAAAAUAAAAUAAAAUAAUAAAAUAAAAUGUGUUGUCAGGAGGCUGGAGAGGAAAAUAUGGUCCUAACCCUAUCCAGCCUCCAGAGGUCACUCACACUCCUUGGCUCACAGCCUCACCUCACUCCAAUCUCUCCUUCCAUCAUUCCAUUCUUCGACUCUCCUACCUUUCUCUUUCUCUAACAAAGACCUUUGUGAUUACAUGGAUCCCACCCAGAUAAUUCAGGAUUACCCCCCAACUCAAGAUUCUUACCUUAAUCACAUCUGUCAAGUCCCUUUGCUGUGGAAGUUAACGCGGCCACAGGUUCCGGGGAUUAGGAUUUGGAAACACCUGAGGGACUAUUAUUCUGCCCACUUCAGAUGCCAUGAAGGCCUAGCCACGGAAAAGACUAAGUUGUAUCCACAGAGUUCCCCAGUGUUUAUACAUUCAUUUCUGAUCCUCUCUCCUCCCCGAUCCUCAGUAUGUUACUCAACUUCUCUGAGAGUCAGUUUCCACAUAUGCCAAACAGGAAUGGCCCACACUGUACAUUAUCAGGUUAUUUGAGGAAUAACACAUGCACUAGGGUUAUAAAAUGCUUAGCAAAUCUUAGAAUAAAAUUCUAUAUAAAAUGAACAAAUAAUAGGAGUUCACAUUGUGGCUCAGCAAGUUAAGAACCUGACUAGUAUCCAUGAGGAGACAGGUUUGAUCCCUGGCCUUGCUCGGGGGGGGUUAAGGAUCCUGCAUUGCCAUGAGCUACACCUUAAGUCAAGACACAGCUGGUGUUGCUGUGGCUGUAGUGUAGGCUGGUGGCUACAGCUCCAAUUCAACCCCUAGCCUGAGAAUAUCCAUAUGCUGCAGGUGCGG